rnacentral:rRNA from 1 species
CGGCGAGUGAAGCGGCAACAGCUCAAAUUUGAAAUCUGGCCCCUGGGGCCCGAGUUGUAAUUUGCAGAGGAUGCUUUUGGCGAGGUGCCUUCCGAGUUCCCUGGAACGGGACGCCACAGAGGGUGAGAGCCCCGUCUGGUUGGACGCCGAGCCUCUGUAAAGCUCCUUCGACGAGUCGAGUAGUUUGGGAAUGCUGCUCUAAAUGGGAGGUAUAUGUCUUCUAAAGCUAAAUAUUGGCCAGAGACCGAUAGCGCACAAGUAGAGUGAUCGAAAGAUGAAAAGCACUUUGAAAAGAGAGUUAAAUAGUACGUGAAAUUGUUGAAAGGGAAGCGCUUGUGACCAGACUUGGGCCCGGUGAAUCAUCCAGCGUUCUCGCUGGUGCACUUUGCCGGUGCCCAGGCCAGCAUCAGUUUGCCCCGGGGGAUAAAGGCUUUGGGAAUGUGGCUCCCCAGGGAGUGUUAUAGCCCACUGCACAAUACCCUGUGGCGGACUGAGGUUCGCGCAUCUUGCAAGGAUGCUGGCGUAAUGGUCAUCAGCGACCCGUCUUGAAACACGGACCAAGGAGUCGUCUUCGUAUGCGAGUGUUCGGGUGUCAAACCCCUACGCGUAAUGAAAGUGAACGCAGGUGAGAGCUUCGGCGCAUCAUCGACCGAUCCUGAUGUUCUCGGAUGGAUUUGAGUAAGAGCAUACGGGGCCGGACCCGAAAGAAGGUGAACUAUGCCUGUAUAGGGUGAAGCCAGAGGAAACUCUGGUGGAGGCUCGCAGCGGUUCUGACGUGCAAAUCGAUCGUCAAAUAUGGGCAUGGGGGCGAAAGACUAAUCGAACCUUCUAGUAGCUGGUUUC